rnacentral:rRNA from 1 species
CGGUAAUUCCAGCUCCAAUAGCGUAUAUUAAACUUGUUGCAGUUAAAAAGCUCGUAGUUGAAUUUCUGCUGCUUCGCUUUCGUCCCUUUAUUGGUUUCGUUUGCGUUGUGGCUUUUUUCUGGUUGAUUGGCUUCGGCUUUUUUUCCAGAUUUUUUUACUUUGAGAAAAUUAGAGUGCUUCAAGCAGGCUUUUGCCUUGAAUACUUUAGCAUGGAAUAAUAAAGUAGGACUUUGGUUCUAUUUUGUUGGUUUUCGAACCAAAGUAAUGGUUAAUAGGAACAGUUGGGGGCAUUCGUAUUUAACUGUCAGAGGUGAAAUUCUUAGAUUUGUUAAAGACGAACUACUGCGAAAGCAUUUGCCAAGGAUGUUUUCAUUAAUCAAGAACGAAAGUUAGGGGAUCGAAGACGAUCAGAUACCGUCGUAGUCCUAACCAUAAGCUAUGCCGACUAGAGAUUGGAGGUCGUCAGUU